rnacentral:rRNA from 1 species
GCGGAGGAAAAGAAAAUAACAAUGAUUUCCCUAGUAACGGCGAGUGAAGAGGAAAGAGCUCAAAUUGGAAACUGUUUGGCUUAGCUAAACCGUAUUGUAAACUGUAGAAACAUUUUCCUGGCACGCCGGAUUAAUAAGUCCUUUGGAACAAGGCAUCAUGGAGGGUGAGAAUCCCGUCUUUGAUCUGAGUAGUUGUCUUUUGUGAUAUGUUUUCAAAGAGUCAGGUUGUUUGGGAAUGCAGCCUAAAUUGGGUGGUAAAUCUCACCUAAAGCUAAAUAUUUGCGAGAGACCGAUAGCGAACAAGUACCGUGAGGGAAAGAUGAAAAGAACUUUGAAAAGAGAGUUAAACAGUAUGUGAAAUUGUUAAAAGGGAACCGUUUGGAGCCAGACUGGUUUGACUGUAAUCAACCUAGAAUUCGUUUUGGGUGCACUUGCAGUCUAUACCUGCCAACAACAGUUUGAUUUGGAGGACAAAAUUAAUAGGAAUGUAGCCUCUCGAGGUGUUAUAGCCUACUAUCAUACUCUGGAUUGGACUGAGGAACGCAGCGAAUGCCUUUAGGCAAGAUUGCUGGGUGCUUUCGCUAAUAAAUGUUAGAAUUUCUGCUUCGGGUGGUGCUAAUGUUUAAAGGAGGAACACAUCUAGUAUAUUUUUUAUUCGCUUAGGUUGUUGGCUUAAUGACUCUAAAUGAC